CCCGCAGUAGUAACUUAUGGAGCUGAUAUCAUUUGCACAUAUCACAAUCCAUGUACUGUUCAAUAGCCGCAAAGCUUUGGUUGUCUCCAAUAUGAAAGAUGUAGUUUAUUUGUUUGCCAAAGCAUCAAGACAGAUUUGUGAAGCUUUUUACAGUAAAAAGGCUCAGGUUAAGUGGUGAUGAGAUUUUGAAGCAAAAUGACUGAGGUGAGCUGCUUGUUUAUGGACUGAGUUGUUGUCAAAAUGUUGGAAUGCUUGGUUACAGCUUGAUUUUGUAGAGUGUUUUGCUUCUUUUGGUUUAGAUUUGGAAGAGUAGCAUAAUGAUGGAGAGGUUCAGUUUGCUUGAUUAGGGAUACAACACUGGUUAGCAUAAACCAUAUAUGGUUGGAUAUGCACUAUGCAUCUAUUUGGUAGUGAGGAUAAAGAAUAGCUUUUACACUACUGGAAUGAAAUAUGUGGUUUGAAAUUGAAGAAAAACUUGAAACCUAAAUUUAUAAAGUGAACAGGCUAUGACAAGAGAGGAUAUGGAUAUGGCUGGCGGGGCUAUGAAUCGUUGGAAGUUUUGGUUGGUAGAGAAAGCAUGGUUUUUUUUUUUAGCUUGUCAAAUUUUGGUUUGAGAUCUUGGAGACCAGAAAAUUACAGGGAUGAUGAAGGAGAGAAUUUAGGGAUAAUAAACCCAGUCCCCAGCAGAGUCGCCAUUUAUGUUGGGGUCAUUUUGAACAGAGGGUGCUAGAUUUAUUUGAAUGGCUUGAUUUCCUCUUUCUACCCCUUCUGAGUUCAAGAACUGGGCCCAAACCGUUAAGGAGCUUUGUGUGUGUUUUCCCCAAGAUCUCCCCUACAGUAAUAUUGGCUUGCUGCGGGGAUGAUAACCUGCUGCGGUGACAUGUUGCUUGUGAUCUGGAGGCAUGAACUUUAAUGUGGAUUUGGUAGCAUGACAGAUGAACAGAAUACAUGGAAGAGCUUGCAAGAUGGCAUGAGGCGUGGGAGCUAGAAGCACAUGAGUUGCAGAAGAUGAGAACUUGCUAUGGCUAAAAGUUUGCUGCGGGGUAAUCAAUUGCAGUGAGCAAAACAAGGAUAUGAUGGUGUUUGAGGGUGUAUAGAGCUUGAGAAUGGUUUUGGAUUGGAGGCUAUGGAUGCUUGGCUUGAUGCUUGAGGCUUGCUUAUGUGAUCUAAGAUGUAUUGCUUGGGGUUGUAUGUUCUGCUGCCUGAGUUGUGUUUGCAGCAACUGAGAGCCUUUAUUUAUAGGCUGGAGGAGGUGAGGCUAAGAUAAGGAUAUUAGGAUAAAACUGCUGGGUUUUCAAGAGAACUAUAAGGUGAAAUCGAAAUAUACAGAACAAGUCAAAGACCACAGGACAUAAGGUGUAUUUGUUGCAUUGUUUUGAGUGAAAUAUGAAAAUAGAGAGGCAUAUUUCUAGGGAAGCACUAUUGUGUAUUUUAGUUGAUAAAAGUGUACUUAUUAGGAAUAGUUUCAUUGGAGUAGGUUGUAGCAUGCUAGAGCUAAGAAUAGGAAAAAUGAGGAUAUUGAUAGAGACUUGUGUUUGUCGUAGAAGAAGGGAAAUUAUUUACUGCGGGGAAAACAAGUAUUGUAGUUUGAUCAGUUGAAACACUAUUAGUGUUAGGGUUGGAAAAUGACUAUGUUUAGGCUAAUGGGUUGGAUUCUCUCUUUUUUGAAUGCCCAUGUAAAGAUUUACAUAAUUGGGCCUCGGUUUUGGUCCCAAGUCCAAAACCGCCAACAAUAUAAGAUCUAGAAUGGGCUUCAUGUACUUCCGUUACCUUCCACACCACACCCAAACUUGUAAGCCCCAAGUGCGUGGUGUGGCUUGAGUCCACAUGCGUGGCAUGACUACUCGAAUAAAUAUGUAAGUUUUGUAUUUUCAAAUGUGAUUCGCAUGUGUAUUUUAUUAUUGGGCUUGUAAUAUCUAUUGAGCAUGAAUAUUGAUUUUUUAGGUAUCAACAACUUGUAACUGAGAACAUUCAAAUCAUGAAGUUAAGGAGAAUAACGGACAAAUAGAAAAUGAAGGAAUGAAUUUGAUUGAGUAUUGUAACCUACCACAAUUGCCAUAAACUCAUGUAACUGAAAAUAUUUAUGGCAACGAAUAACCAUUUGAAUGUAACAUCUGAAUCCAGUUGGAUCAAGAGACACUAAACACAAGUAUUUUGAAAUAUCACAUAAAAAAUUCCAAUAUCAAGGACCAGAUCAUAAAGUCUAGAAAUGGAUGGAAGAAAAUGAAGUUGGCAAUGAAGGGUAGUUCUGCUGGAAAUGGUAUUGCAUUAGCCUCAACACAGUUUUCUACUCAAAGCAGCCAAAAAUGAAUACGUUGGUUUUUAAAUUAGAAAAACAUAAUGUGUACUUCAUCAUCAUGUUUUGGAAUUAAAAUCUUAUAGAAUUGUAGGACGGACUUGCUAUUUUCACUUCAUGGUACAGUUUUCAACUAUGGUUGGAAAAAUGAUUUCAUCUUGGGUUGCAUUAACAACUUCAAUCUUUCAUUCUUUCUCUCUCUGGUUGGAUAUUAGCUGUCAAAUAACCUCAAAACAAAGUAGAAUAAAGUAAACGAAAGGGAUUAGUUUUAUUUUAUUUUUAUUUCGAAA
rnacentral:lncRNA from 1 species